ACGGGUGCGUAACACGUGGAUACAUUCCGGGAAGCGGGGGAUAGCCCAGGGAAACUUGGAUUAAUACCGCAUGUGGUCGAAGGACUAAAGGCAGGGACCGCAAGGCCUGCCACUUCCCGAUUGGUCCGCGGCCUAUCAGCUAGUUGGCGGGGUAAAAGCCCACCAAGGCUACGACGGGUAGCUGGUCUUAGAGGACGACCAGCCACACUGGAACUGAGACACGGUCCAGACACCUACGGGUGGCAGCAGUCGAGAAUCUUUCACAAUGGGGGCAACCCUGAUGGAGCGACGCCGCGUGGAGGAUAAGGUCUUCGGAUUGUAAACUCCUGUCAUGUGUGAACAAGGCUGCCGUGUUAAUAGCAUGGCAGAUUGAUGGUAACACAAGAGGAAGAGACGGCUAACUCUGUGCCAGCAGCCGCGGUAAUACAGAGGUCUCAAGCGUUGUUCGGAAUCACUGGGCGUAAAGGGUGCGUAGGUGGCGUGGAAAGUCAGAUGUGAAAGCCCGGGGCUCAACCUCGGAAUUGCAUCCGAUACUACCAUGCUAGAGUACUGAAGAGGUGACUAGAAUUCUCGGUGUA
rnacentral:rRNA from 1 species